UACGAAGGGGGGCUAGCGUUGCUCGGAAUCACUGGGCGUAAAGGGUGCGUAGGCGGGUUUGUAAGUCAGAGGUGAAAGCCUGGAGCUCAACUCCAGAACUGCCUUUGAGACUGCAUCGCUUGAAUCCGGGAGAGGUGAGUGGAAUUCCGAGUGUAGAGGUGAAAUUCGUAGAUAUUCGGAAGAACACCAGUGGCGAAGGCGGCUCACUGGACCGGUAUUGACGCUGAGGUGCGAAAGCGUGGGGAGCAAACAGG
rnacentral:rRNA from 1 species